UGGACAGAUUAUUGUAUUCGACUUUAUUCACUGCGUGAAACAGGGGAUUACACUGUUUUUAAAUGGAAAGUGAAUCAAUUAACAUAAUAGACUUCU
rnacentral:pre_miRNA from 1 species